UACGUAGGUGACCAGCGUUGUCCGGAUUUACUGGGCGUAAAGAGCGCGCAGGCGGUCGUUCAAGUCGAGUGUGAAAGCCCCCGGCUCAACUGGGGAGGGUCAUUCGAUACUGAUCGACUCGAAGGCAGGAGAGGGAAGCGGAAUUCCCGGUGUAGUGGUGAAAUGCGUAGAUAUCGGGAGGAACACCAGUGGCGAAGGCGGCUUCCUGGCCGUGUCUUGUACGUCUGGAAGGCCGGCGAAAGGAGGG
rnacentral:rRNA from 1 species